rnacentral:rRNA from 1 species
AUAGGGGAGCCGGAGGGAAACCGAGUCUUAAUUGGGCGUUAAGUUGCAGGGUAUAGACCCGAAACCCGGUGAUCUAGCCAUGGGCAGGUUGAAGGUUGGGUAACACUAACUGGAGGACCGAACCGACUAAUGUUGAAAAAUUAGCGGAUGACCUGUGGCUGGGGGUGAAAGGCCAAUCAAACCGGGAGAUAGCUGGUUCUCCCCGAAAGCUAUUUAGGUAGCGCCUCGUGAAUUCAUCUCCGGGGGUAGAGCACUGUUUCGGCUAGGGGGCCAUCCCGGCUUACCAACCCGAUGCAAACUGCGAAUACCGGAGAAUGUUAUCACGGGAGACACACGGCGGGUGCUAACGUCCGUCGUGAAGAGGGAAACAACCCAGACCGCCAGCUAAGGUCCCAAAGUCAUGGUUAAGUGGGAAACGAUGUGGGAAGGCCCAGACAGCCAGGAUGUUGGCUUAGAAGCAGCCAUCAUUUAAAGAAAGCGUAAUAGCUCACUGGUCGAGUCGGCCUGCGCGGAAGAUGUAACGGGGCUAAACCAUGCACCGAAGCUGCGGCAGCGACGCUUAUGCGUUGUUGGGUAGGGGAGCGUUCUGUAAGCCUGCGAAGGUGGCCUGUGAGGGUUGCUGGAGGUAUCAGAAGUGCGAAUGCUGACAUAAGUAACGAUAAAGCGGGUGAAAAGCCCGCUCGCCGGAAGACCAAGGGUUCCUGUCCAACGUUAAUCGGGGCAGGGUGAGUCGACCCCUAAGGCGAGGCCGAAAGGCGUAGUCGAUGGGAAACGGGUUAAUAUUCCCGUACUUGGUGUUACUGCGAAGGGGGGACGGAGAAGGCUAUGUUGGCCGGGCGACGGUUGUCCCGGUUUAAGCGUGUAGGUGUGUGUUCCAGGUAAAUCCGGUUCACUUUAACACUGAGGCGUGACGACGAGGCACUACGGUGCUGAAGCAACAAAUGCCCUGCUUCCAGGAAAAGCCUCUAAGCAUCAGGUAACAUCAAAUCGUACCCCAAACCGACACAGGUGGUCAGGUAGAGAAUACCAAGGCGCUUGAGAGAACUCGGGUGAAGGAACUAGGCAAAAUGGUGCCGUAACUUCGGGAGAAGGCACGCUGACACGUAGGUGAAGUGAUUUACUCAUGGAGCUGAAGUCAGUCGAAGAUACCAGCUGGCUGCAACUGUUUAUUAAAAACACAGCACUGUGCAAACACGAAAGUGGACGUAUACGGUGUGACGCCUGCCCGGUGCCGGAAGGUUAAUUGAUGGGGUCAGCGCAAGCGAAGCUCCUGAUCGAAGCCCCGGUAAACGGCGGCCGUAACUAUAACGGUCCUAAGGUAGCGAAAUUCCUUGUCGGGUAAGUUCCGACCUGCACGAAUGGCGUAAUGAUGGCCAGGCUGUCUCCACCCGAGACUCAGUGAAAUUGAACUCGCUGUGAAGAUGCAGUGUACCCGCGGCAAGACGGAAAGACCCCGUGAACCUUUACUAUAGCUUGACACUGAACAUUGAGCCUUGAUGUGUAGGAUAGGUGGGAGGCUUUGAAGUGUGGACGCCAGUCUGCAUGGAGCCGACCUUGAAAUACCACCCUUUAAUGUUUGAUGUUCUAACGUGGACCCGUGAUCCGGGUUGCGGACAGUGUCUGGUGGGUAGUUUGACUGGGGCGGUCUCCUCCUAAAGAGUAACGGAGGAGCACGAAGGUUGGCUAAUCCUGGUCGGACAUCAGGAGGUUAGUGCAAUGGCAUAAGCCAGCUUGACUGCGAGCGUGACGGCGCGAGCAGGUGCGAAAGCAGGUCAUAGUGAUCCGGUGGUUCUGAAUGGAAGGGCCAUCGCUCAACGGAUAAAAGGUACUCCGGGGAUAACAGGCUGAUACCGCCCAAGAGUUCAUAUCGACGGCGGUGUUUGGCACCUCGAUGUCGGCUCAUCACAUCCUGGGGCUGAAGUAGGUCCCAAGGGUAUGGCUGUUCGCCAUUUAAAGUGGUACGCGAGCUGGGUUUAGAACGUCGUGAGACAGUUCGGUCCCUAUCUGCCGUGGGCGCUGGAGAACUGAGGGGGGCUGCUCCUAGUACGAGAGGACCGGAGUGGACGCAUCACUGGUGUUCGGGUUGUCAUGCCAAUGGCACUGCCCGGUAGCUAAAUGCGGAAGAGAUAAGUGCUGAAAGCAUCUAAGCACGAAACUUGCCCCGAGAUGAGUUCU